rnacentral:rRNA from 1 species
CAGGCCAGCAUCAGUUUUCCCCGGGGGAUAAAGGCGGCGGGAAUGUGGCUCUCUUCGGGGAGUGUUAUAGCCCACCGUGUAAUACCCUGGGGGGGACUGAGGUUCGCGCAUCUGCAAGGAUGCUGGCGUAAUGGUCAUCAACGA